UACAGAGGGUGCAAGCGUUAAUCGGAAUUACUGGGCGUAAAGCGCGCGUAGGUGGUUUGUUAAGUUGGAUGUGAAAUCCCCCGGGCUCAACCUGGGAACUGCAUUCAAAACUGACAAGCUAGAGUAUGGUAGAGGGUGGUGGAAUUUCCUGUGUAGCGGUGAAAUGCGUAGAUAUAGGAAGGAACACCAGUGGCGAAGGCGACCGACCUGGACU
rnacentral:rRNA from 1 species